AUGGAGAUGAACAAGAAAAAGUGCAAAAUAUUGGCCUGAUGCGACCACGACCGAAACCUACGGAAAAUUCGCUAAUAACGAGGAUGUUACAAAAAGAGCUGAUUACACAAUUUCUACUUUCCUGGUGCAAUGCUCUGGUGUCGAGAAAACUCUGACGCACUAUCACUUCACAUCUUGGCCUGACCAUGGUGUUCCUUCUGCUCCUGCCCUCGUCAACUUCUGGAGACUGGUCAAACAGGGGGACAUGGGCUUGGGACCCAUGGUAGUGCACUGCAGCGCUGGGUAGGCCGAACAGGAACGUUCAUUGCCCUGACUACCUGAUGGAUGAAGCUGAGAGUGACAACAGGGUCAACGUGUACA